rnacentral:rRNA from 1 species
UACGUAGGCAGCAAGCGUUGUUCGGAAUUACUGGGCGUAAAGCGUGCGUAGGCGGUGUCUUAAGUUUGUUGUGAAAUCUCCCGGCUUAACCGGGAGGGUGCGGCGAAUACUGAGAUGCUGGAGUGCCGGAGAGGUAAGCGGAAUUCCUGGUGUAGCGGUGAAAUGCGUAGAUAUCAGGAGGAACACCUGCGGUGUAGACGGCUUACUGGACGGUAACUGACGCUGAGGCACGAAAGCGUGGGUAGCAAACAGG